AAAUGACGACGAAUAGGAAUCACAUUCUAUGACAUAACAGGAAAAAAUAAGGAAAAAAAAAACAGGAAAAAGUACGCUAAAAAACAUAACAUCUAAGAAAUUGAAAAUCACAAGUUUUAGAAUCUUGAAGAAAUCCGGUAGAUCGAUGGCGAAGGCUGCAGUAAAGAUUGACAUCGGAUAACACAAAAGCGGAGGAGCCGUAGAAUGCUAACAUGACGGUGGUGGAGGCUGCGGCAGAGAUUGAAAGCAUUAAGAAGAAGAAGAAAGUUUUUUGACGAUAAGAAGAAAGUUUUUUUUUUUACGCGAAGAAGAAAGUUGUUUGAGACGUAAUACAAUUUGAAGAAGAACCAAACAAAUCAAAAGUAAUUAGGUCCAAAAUAUAAAUUCAUA
rnacentral:lncRNA from 1 species